rnacentral:lncRNA from 1 species
GCAGAGACACACUCAGAGACUCUCUCAGGGCUGAAGGAGGUAACAUUUUUGCCUCUCUCUCUCUGUCUGAGGGAAAGAUCUGAAGGAUCUCAGUGUUUUCCUUUCCCAACUUGGGAAACACUAGUGACUAUCGCGGUUUUUAUAGAUUGUUUAACUCUGAGAAGAUCAAAGAAAAACCUGUUCCUUGUUUUGGACUUUGAGUCUGUUAAGGCUCAGAGUUCUAACUUGAUUCUUGUUGAGACUCAACCAGCUAGCCUUUGCUAUUUUAUAAUUUGAAGGCGAAGUUAAGAUUUCGAAAUAUAAUAGCAGUAGUUUUUAUUUAGAUAGUAUAAAUUUGGGUUAGUCAGAUCAGGGAGGAUUAGUGUGGCCUGUGAAACACAGGAGAAGCGGUUCCUUGCAGAACCAAGGAAUUUAUUUGGGUGGAUUUAGAAUCCCUUAGAAUUAGAAAUUCUUCUGGCCUCAGCCACUUCCCAGCUGUGUGACCCUGGGUAAGUCACUUAACCCCCAUUGCCUAGCCCUCACCACUCUUCUGCCUUGGAGCCAAUACACAGUAUUGACUCCAAGACAGAAGGUAAGGGUUUUAAAAAAAAGAAUUAGAAAUUCUUUUUUAUACUUAUAUAUUUCAAUAAAUAUUUUAUUUUUAUAAUAGGAGCCUUUUUAGUGUCCUUGCACCUGGCCUGGAAGGUAAAUUCACGUUUGAGCUUCACUUCAUCACUGAAGAUUCUUUUGAUUACAUCUAUCAAAAGUAUCAGAACAGUUUGAACCUGUACUGAUCUGAUUCUUGUUCACAGGAGGAAAACAGGAGAAGUGGAGAGGAUUCAAAAUGGCCUGAAUGUGGAAAAGAUUUCAUGGUCUCAGGAGUGCUGAGUCUAGUGGUUUAACUCAUCUCAGACAUGGAAGGUCCAAGUGAUUUGGUAGCAACAGAUUCUGCUCCAUUAACUGCCUUGAUCCAGAGUUCUUGUUGUCUUAUCUCUCACUGGCCUUAUUUUAAAAAAGCCUUUGACUGGACUCUAUGUUUGUACAACCUGCUGUACUUGACUGUUGGGAUAAAAAGCGUAGAUAUUCUCAUUUCAAGACAUCGAGGAUGAAAUGUAUGAAGUGGAGUGUUGCAAUUGAUAGAACUGGGUUUGAAUUCCAGUGUUAUUGUUUGUUUAAACCUUGACCUUCUUGACUAAUUCGCUAAUCUCUGUGGAUCUCAGUUUCCUUAUUUGUACUUUGAGGAGUUUGUAUCAGAUGGUCUCUAAGACCCUUUCUGGCUUUAAAUUCACCCUCCAGGCCUCUAAACAGAGAGAUGAAGAUUUAAAAACUUAGGAAGCACAUAGCAAUGUAAGAGAUGAGAUACCAAAAGCACAAAUCUAUGGGCUUACAUAAUCUAUAUACAGACUCACUUUAUCAUACUUUCAGGAGGGAAAACAAUGUAUAGCCAUAAAACACUUAUGCAAUUCCCUUUCACUAGGGAUAUAUUUUAAAUGUAAAUCAUAAACAUAAGAUAUUGAAUUCACAGGUUUAUAAAUAUUACCCUCACAGUGAUGAGAAACUUGAUUUAUUUCUGUUCCAAACCAUGGGUUGCUUUAGCGUUGUGCUGGCCCACAGAACUAAUGUAUUAAGUAAUUGCCCAAGUGUUGUAUUGCUAUGCAACACAUUUAUCAGGUCUUAACCUCUGAAAAACAGAUGGAAUUCUUCACUGGAUGUCUCUCUUACGUACUAACAUUUAUGACUCACUUUGCCCCUGUUCAAGAUUUAACCUUGAGAAUAAUGGAAUCUGAAUCAUAUCUCUAAAAUGGAUUUCAUCUCCCCUACACAUAUAAGAAUAUCAAUGAUUAAACUCUAAAAUUUCUGCCUGUUAUGUAAUUUUUUUUGAAACUUAGAGAUGCUCAAUAAUGCUAAAAGCAGUAGACCUCUUACUUGGCCAUAAAAUUCACUUGUGGUUUGACUUAAGACAUCUAGUUAUGGGGAAAGAGUGGAAUCAAGGGAAGAGCAGGUAAAAGAUGUACCUUAGAUUAUAGUCACUUGGAGAGACCAAGAUAAAAUGGGAUCACCAAAGAGGAUGGCUUACAUCCCAGACUUAGACAUGAUGAUCCUGUUAGUCUAGCAAGAAGAGGAAGGGGAUCCAGGUGAAACAGUUGCCUGUUGACCUGACCUCAGGUCAUGCCACGUUCUCUAAGAUCAUUUUCUCAGUUCUUGAGUAGAAGUCACACAAGUCAGCCCCACAUUGUAAAUUCCAGUAAUCAUAUGUAAAGGCUAAGGGUCUGAUAGAGCAAGUUGGACUUUCACUCAUGGUAUCUAAUUGGUUUUCCACCUCUGAUCUCAUAGACAGCAAAGACCAAUUACUGCAGGUAGAAUGAAGGCUCUCUAAGUUUGAGAAAAUUAGUUGCCAUAGAUAUGUAUAAUUAAGCAAAACAGACAUCUUGGUCAUGUCUGACACAAUGUCUCAUUCUAUACCUAUGGUGCACCAUAUCUGCUGUAAGAAUUGAAAUAAUAUUUCUACCUAUAUAUAUAUUUUAUUAAAUUUAUUAGUAAGGGUAGACAAUCAUUCCUAUAAGUAACCUGACCACAUGGUCCCUAGCCUUCAAGUCCCUUCCUCCUUCCCUUCACCUGCCUGCUCUAUUCCUGACUUCCUCCUUCUUCAUUCUCUUCUUGAUUCCCUCCCUUUCAAGCCCCCAAACCUUGACUUUUGUUGACAUAUAGCACAUAGAGGGAUGCAACUGUGUUAUGUCAUGAAUGAAUGUUUGAUGGACAGGUCAAGCUACUCAGGAAGGGGAGGGAAUGAACUUCCUUGACACAAUCUCCCUGUGAUCCUUUGGGAGACCCGUCUCCCCAGUGGAUCACUUAAAUAUAACUAUCUUAUAACUCUAAAUACCUUCUAGCUAAAAGUACAUACAAUAUUGCAUUUUUCUAAGAAGAAGUAACAAUAGAGAUGAGAGUAAAAUACAAAAACUGAUUGAUAGAUGCAUUGACAAAAUGCCAAUUGGGGGCAAUCCCCUUUGGCAUAAGAGUUUACAUUCAGAAUAAAUAUGUUCAACCCCCUUCA